UGUUACUUUUAAUAAAUAGAUUUUGGAAUAGUAGUAUUAAUGAAAUUUAACGGAUUUGGCGGCAAGAUAGCCCCUUAGAGGAACCUGCCCUGUGAACGAUGAACCACGAGAACUUUACUUUUUUUUGUAAACAGUUUGUAUAUCGCUGUUGUCAGUUGAAUUCUUGAGAAUAUUUUCUGACAUGAUAAARUCAUUGACUUCAAGUAAAGGUGCAGCUUAUAAAAAAGAUAGAGGUGGGUUACAUUUAAAAGAAUAAUACGGAUUAGAUAAAGGAAAAAGUCUUUAAAGGUGGAUUUAACAGUAAAACUUAAGAAAGUUUGGUGAGAGCUCUAUCUUGU
rnacentral:rRNA from 1 species